GUGUCAGCAGCCGCGGUAAUACGUAGGGGGCGAGCGUUGUCCGGAGUGACUGGGCGUAAAGCGCGCGCAGGCGGCCAUCCGCGCCGGUCGUGAAAGCCCCCGGCUCAACCGGGGCACGUCGAUCGGGACGGGGUGGCUGGAGGGUGUCAGAGGGGGGUGGAACGCCGCGUGGAGCAGUGAAAUGCGUAGAGAUGCGGCAGAACACCGGAGGCGAAGGCGGCCCCCUGGGGCACAACUGACGCUGAGGCGCGAAGGCGCGGGGAGCGAACGGGAUUAGAUACCCCCGUAGUCC
rnacentral:rRNA from 1 species